rnacentral:tRNA from 1 species
GCGAGAGUGGCGGAACUGGCAGACGCACUGGCCUUAGGAGCCAGCGGCCGCAAGGCCUUAGGGGUUCGAGCCCCCUCUCUCGCACCA